ACAUGCUGUUUGUGACCAUCUUCGGCCUUGGACUGUGCGUGUUUUAUGUACACUUUGGAUAUUGCGGGAGGAAUCUGAUACUUCUAAGAAUGACAAAAUUAACAGCAACGCUGAGUGUUUGCUCACCUGUCCUUUGAAGCGCACGUCAUCCCAGGCUCUCAUCUCUGGGGCCCUCUGCGGGAAGCCUAAACCCUUCUCAAACGGCUGGGUGCCCCGGAAGUGCCCUCGUAGAAUUUCCGAGUGGCCCAUGUCCCUCACGGGCUGCAGCAAAGCCUCUUGGGACAAAUGAGAUUGGUCUCCGUCCAUGGAGUUGCAGCAUGACGAUAUCAUAGUGUCAAUGACCGGUCUGGAUUUUGUCUGGUUGGCCACCCAGGCCUGUGCGUUUGUGACUGGGGUCCACCCUGGAGCUGUUUGUUCUUGCAGGUGAGACCGGGUGACUCACUGAGUCGGGCAUACACCCUUUGCUGUCCUGAAACAAGAGAAAGCCCUUCCUCUGAGCCCUGACACCCUCCACCUCCUCCUCCUCCUCCUUCUCUUCCUCCUCCUUCAUUGCCACCAGUCGUGCUAGCGACGACCGAUAACUCCGAACUCGCCUCUGACCCCUGACCAUUGUUCAGUCCGUUAAGAUUGAUACCAGCGAUGGUGCCGCCGAGCGAGGCCGGCGUGGCGGUGCUAAGCGAGUCAACGCCCAUCUCCGAAUCGUCCUCGGGCAUUUCGAUUGAGCCGCUCAGCACGACGCCCCCUCCGCUGGCGGCGCUAGCCCGACUGGCCGGCCGACCCAGACUUCCGUAGGGCAACCCGAGCAGGCCCUCUGAGUCGUCGGCAUUACUGCACUCCAGCGAGGAAUCCUCCACAGGCACCAGAGAUGGGGAGUUGCCCGAGGGCCACACCUGCACGUCGGACAUCUCCAUGAGGGUGUCUUCUUCUGUGGUGGCAAUGGGCGCGCAGUCCAGGCUGGAGACCUCCUGCCAGUAAGGCUCAGCGCCCAGAGGCGAGGGCAGGUUGUACUGCAUGGAGGCCGGGGACAGAAGCUCAUCCUGCGCCAGCCCAUAACCUGGAGUGACACACAGAAAAGCACACUCACACCCGGCCCCCCCACCUUGCUCCCCACCUCACAAGCGCGGCACUGGGAACCUGGGAAGGGGGAGAGCGCCCCUUUGCCCAGGAGCUUGGCAAAAUGGGGAGGGGUAGAGGAGGCUGAAGGUGAUGGAAACGGGAAAGGACUAGGAAGCAAUUACAAGACGAGCCAAAACAAUCAGAGAGGUAUAGGAGUGCAAAGUGCUGAGAAAAAAGAGCAAGGAUUUUUUUUGGGAAGAUUAGGGGGGUUUCAGUAGAAGCAGCAGCAGACACAUAUGGACCAACAAAGUUAGACCAAGGCCCACUUGAGACUGAUGCUGCUCUGCUGGCUGCCACCUGCAGGGAGACGACAACGGUAACAGCUCCCCCUAAAAUGGAGCUGAUUCGUCCAUCCAGCAUGCUGUAAUCAACCUGCUCGCAACAUGUGCCUCUCAUCCAGACACACUAGAUCGCCAUCACACGUCUGCAUGCAUUCAACCCCGCAGGUUGAUAAUGUCAGGCUGGAGAGCAUGCAUGCAGGCAAUCUCAGUCACAUACAUACAACACACGCUCUUUGUGGUCUCCAAAAAUUCUCAUCCAAUCAAAACAUUUGAACUUACAGGUAUUGGAGAGUUUCUAUGUUGUGGAAAUAUUCAGUAUUAAAUUAGAUGAAUCACAUUAGAGAAGCGGCUGUGGACUCAGGUCACUCCCACAUCUGUGAUAAAUUAGAAGGCUUGCUAUAUAUACGUACUACAGCACAGCAGCAGGAGUUCUAUUCAUUUUACUUUGUUAUGCCAAAUAAGACUGCACCAAAACAUAACUUGUAAUCUGCAUGAAAGUGAUGAGCUGGGGUGAACUUAAGCUGACGUAAGCAAAGUAAACAGGCUGUAAAGUGGAACGUAGAGCAUACAGUGAAAUAGGAGGAAUAUACCCCCCUCCCCUCCCACCACAAGCAUGCGUUCAUGCACAGCAGAAAGAGAGCAAGAGGACAGUAAGUGUCAGCGUUUCAUUCAGUUCAUGCUUGAGCACUGCUGAGACUGCAGCAGACAUCCGAGACAACUUGCGACCUCAACCACCUUGUGACCUACAUGCUACACUGCCUUUCACACUCCAAACUGCUGCAGUGACGAGUGCCUGUUGCUUGUUACAUUGUCUAAAAAUAUGAAAUUCAUUGUAAAGGGCCAUAGACUUUUAUGUUGUAAUAUCAAAUAUAAUAGGGGGAAUAUAAUUACUAUUUCCCAUGUUACCAGUAGUUUACAGUAAAAAAAAAAAAAAGUAAAAAAAACAACAACCUUAAUUCAGUUGACUUAAUGAAUUGCAAAUAAGCAGUUCUCUGCUCCAGAAAACCGCGACAAUGCAGUUUAUUGCCCCUGACCAAGGUGAGUAUUUUGAAAUGCUGGUCAAAGUUGGAGUCAGUUGUUUAGAAUUCAAUUAAGUAUCUGUAUAUAUUAUGAGGUAUAGUAAUUUGUAUUCAUUGGUUUUACUAAAAAUCAGCAUCCACUUGUUGAGAUCACCAGUUUUUCCUAGGAGUCUGCAAUGCAGCAUAAUAAAUGACAGUAGUUAUCUA